GAUGAAGAACGCAGCGAAAUGCGAUAAGUAAUGUGAAUUGCAGAAUCCAGUGAAUCAUCGAAUCUUUGAACGCACAUUUCGCCCGCCAGCAUUCUGGCGGGCAUGCCUGUUCGAGCGUCAUUUCAACCCUCGACCUCCCUUUGGGGAAGUCGGCGUUGGGGACCGGCAGCACACCGCCGGCCCUGAAAUGGAGUGGCGGCCCGUCCGCGGCGACCUCUGCGUAGUAAACCAACUCGCACCGGAACCCCGACGUGGCCACGCCGUAAAACACCCAACUUCUGAACGUUGACCUCGAAUCAGGUAGGACUACCCGCUGAACUUAAGCAUAUCAAUAAGCGGAGGA
rnacentral:misc_RNA from 1 species